rnacentral:rRNA from 1 species
UACGGAGGGUGCGAGCGUUGUCCGGAAUCAUUGGGCGUAAAGGGCGCGUAGGUGGCGGGACAAGCGUGCGGUGAAAGCUCGGGGCUCAACUCCGAGUCGGCCGUCGAUACUCCCGCGCUCGAGCACUGUAGAGGCAGGUGGAAUUCCGGGUGUAGCGGUGGAAUGCGUAGAUAUCUGGAGGAAUACCGGUGGCGAAGGCGGCAUCCUGGACCGGCAGUUGACGCUGAUGAGC